GGCUCGUUGGUCUAGGGGUAUGAUUCUCGCUUUUGGGUGUGGGUCCGGUUCGGUUCCGGAUUCCGAUGAGCCC